rnacentral:ncRNA from 1 species
UAGUCCUGACCUUAAAAUCAAUUUUUACUUAAUUUACACAUGCAAGUCUCCGCAUCCCUGUGAGAACGCCCUUAUUUCCUACCAGGAACAAGGAGCCGGUAUCAGGCACAAUUUUUAGCCCAAAACACCUAGUUCAACCACACCCACAAGGGUACCCAGCAGUGAUUAACAUUGAGUAUAAGCGACAGCUUGACUCAGUCAAAGUAAAUAGGGCCGGCAAAUACGGUGCCAGCCGCCGCGGCUAUACCCAAAGACCCAAAUUGAUUACUUCGGCGUAAAGCGUGGUUAAAGUUAUACACACAUUAUAGUUAAAUUAAGAUUAAGCCGUAACACGCUUGUCCUUAAGAAAUACACAAACGAAAGUUACUAUAUCUAUAUCUACUUGAAUCCACGACAACUGGGAAACAAACUGGGAUUUGAUACCCCACUAUGCCCAGUCGUAAACUUUUAUUUACAUUCACAUCGCCUGGGAACUACGAGCCAAGCUUAAAACCCAAAGGACUUGACGGUAUUCCACAUCCACCUAGAGGAGCCUGUCCUAUAAUCGAUAAUCCCCGCUAAACCUCACCAUUUUUAGCAUAACAACCUGUAUACCUCCGUCGUCAGCCCACCUCGUGAGUGAUCCUCAGUGCGCUUAAUGUCAUUUCAUCAAUACGUCAGGUCAAGGUGCAGUAAAUAAAAUGGGAAGAGAUGGGCUACACUCUCUAACUUAGAGUAUACGAAAGACUACAUAUGAAACUUAGUCGGAAGGCGGAUUUAGAAGUAAAAAAAGACCAUAAAGCUUUUUUUAACACGGCACUGGAAUGCGUACACACCGCCCGUCACCCUCUUCACAGGCCAUAAAAUUAGUACUUAACAUAAAAUAGCUUUCUAGAAGAGGCAAGUCGUAACAUGGUAAGUGUACCGGAAGGUGCACUUGGAAA